GGGGAUUACAGUGAAGACAUUGCCUUGAGUCUCAGAAGGACUGUGGACUUCUAAACAGUGUUGAGAUUGAAAGACUAUGGAGACUUUCGAAGUUGGACUAAAUGUAUUUCGCCAGACCAGGAAGCUGAAUGUGUUGGUUUGAAUGAGAGUACUCCCUCAGUCCCUUCUCAUAGUUUUGAAUACUUGGUCCCCAGUUGCUAGGACUGUUGGGGAGGGGUUAGGAGAUGUGGUCCUGUUGGAGGAAGUGUGACACUAGAGACAGGCUUGAGGUUUCAAAAGACUCAUACUAUUCCCAGCAUGCUCUCUGCCUCCUGCUUGCAGAUCAAGACGUGAGCUCUUGGUUGCUGCUCCAGCCACCUGCCCCUCUGGAAUCAUAAGCCCAAUUAAACUUUCUUUUAUAAGUUUCAUUGAUCAUGGUGUGUUAGCAAUAGAAGAAUAACUAAGACGCUCCUUCAAGCAACACACUUUCCCAAAUACCCACCGCACAACUGCUGCUACUCAGGGUACCACAAAGCCAGGUAAUUCUGUGCAGGUCACAGAAACAGAUUCUUAGGGGACAUGCAAAUCCGAAGAAAAGGCAGGAGUAAGGGAAGGAGGGACCAUCAGAGAGAGCAGCACAGAGCAGUGAUGACAAGAUGACAAGACCGCAGGAGAAGGUAAUCUAGGCCAGAGGAAUAGCUUAUACAAAGGUCCUGAGGCAGGACUAAGCAGCAACACUGAAGAAUGGCCAAUAAGAGUAUGGUUGGAACACCGUGAGCAAGGAGUUCAGGGAGUGUGGGAGCAAAAGCAAAGACACCCCCAUUUCCUCCCUUCCCCUCAGCA
rnacentral:lncRNA from 1 species